GCUGGUCUGGAACUCCUGAGCUCAAGUGACCCUCUCGCCUCUACCUCCCAGAGUGCUAGCAUUACAGGUGUGAAAAUCUAGAUUUAAUUGAUCAGUCUGUGUCUUGCCAUCAGAAUGACUUUAGUGAGCUGUACCAGUUCUAGGCCAGACAAUGUGCUCCAUUGAGAGAAGAGAGCGGUCCUAUGGCUGAUAUCCAUUACAGGACUGAAUCACCAGAAGCUGAGUGCAGGAGUUGAAGAUUUAGCUGUGAACUAAAUCAAUAUAGCAGACCUACUGGGAAGCACUCACGUCCUCUACACAGGAUGAGCUGAAAGACUUCUGAAUGUAAAACAUACAUUAUGAGCAAACUUGAGAAGAUUACACAAGGGCUAUGAACCAAGAUACCAUGUUUGCUGAUGUUGUGGGACAUUGCUAUGGAAAGGACAGUCCCUGGAUGAGCAGCAAUGGGCAGCACCAAUGCAGAUUUGAGUGCCCCUCCAGGGUUACUGAACUAGACUCUGCAUUUUGACAGAUCCCUAGGUGAUUCCAAUGCACAUUAAACAGAAGCAGUGUCUUCGGGCUUCUGUGGGAUGUGGUU